rnacentral:rRNA from 1 species
GACGGAGGGUGCUAGCGUUGUUCGGAAUCACUGGGCGUAAAGGCGCGUAGGCGGCCAGGCAAGUCGGCUUGUGAAAGCCCGGGGCUCAACCCCGGAGGUGCGGCCGGGACUGCUUGGCUGGAGGCCGGAAGGAGGAGGGUGGAAUACCCAGUGUAGAGGUGAAAUUCGUAGAUAUUGGGAUGGAACACCGGUAGGCGGAAAGCGGCUCCUCUGGUCCGGACCUGACGCUGAGGCGCGAAAGCGUGGGGAGCAAACAGG